rnacentral:rRNA from 1 species
UGGUAAUUCUAGAGCUAAUACAUGCUAAAAACCCCGACUUCGGAAGGGGUGUAUUUAUUAGAUAAAAAACCAAUGCCCUUCGGGGCUCCUUGGUGAAUCAUAAUAACUUAACGAAUCGCAUGGCCUUGCGCCGGCGAUGGUUCAUUCAAAUUUCUGCCCUAUCAACUUUCGAUGGUAGGAUAGUGGCCUACCAUGGUAUCAACGGGUAACGGGGAAUUAGGGUUCUAUUCCGGAGAGGGAGCCUGAGAAACGGCUACCACAUCCAAGGAAGGCAGCAGGCGCGCAAAUUACCCAAUCCCGACACGGGGAGGUAGUGACAAUAAAUACUGAUACAGGGCUCUUUUGGGUCUUGUAAUUGGAAUGAGUACAAUUUAAAUCCCUUAACGAGGAACAAUUGGAGGGCAAGUCUGGUGCCAGCAGCCGCGGUAAUUCCAGCUCCAAUAGCGUAUAUUAAAGUUGUUGCAGUUAAAAAGCUCGUAGUUGAACCUUGGGCCUGGCUGGCCGGUCCGCCUCACCGCGUGUACUGGUCCGGCCGGGCCUUUCCUUCUGGGGAGCCGCAUGCCCUUCACUGGGCGUGUCGGGGAACCAGGACUUUUACUUUGAAAAAAUUAGAGUGUUCAAAGCAGGCCUUUGCUCGAAUACAUUAGCAUGGAAUAAUGGAAUAGGACGUGCGGUUCUAUUUUGUUGGUUUCUAGGACCGCCGUAAUGAUUAAUAGGGAUAGUCGGGGGCAUCAGUAUUCAAUUGUCAGAGGUGAAAUUCUUGGAUUUAUUGAAGACUAACUACUGCGAAAGCAUUUGCCAAGGAUGUUUUCAUUAAUCAGUGAACGAAAGUUAGGGGAUCGAAGACGAUCAGAUACCGUCGUAGUCUUAACCAUAAACUAUGCCGACUAGGGAUCGGUGGAUGUUACUAUUUUGACUCCAUCGGCACCUNA